rnacentral:rRNA from 1 species
CGGCGGACGGGUGAGUAACGCGUGGGUAACCUACCCUGUACACACGGAUAACAUACCGAAAGGUAUGCUAAUACGGGAUAAUAUAUUUGAGGGGCAUCUCUUGAAUAUCAAAGGUGAGCCAGUACAGGAUGGACCCGCGUCUGAUUAGCUAGUUGGUAAGGUAACGGCUUACCAAGGCGACGAUCAGUAGCCGACCUGAGAGGGUGAUCGGCCACAUUGGAACUGAGACACGGUCCAA